rnacentral:rRNA from 1 species
CAGAGGUCUCAAGCGUUGUUCGGAUUCAUUGGGCGUAAAGGGUGUGUAGGUGGCGCCGUAAGUCGGGUGUGAAAUUUCGGAGCUUAACUCCGAAACUGCAUUCGAUACUGCGGUGCUUGAGGACUGGAGAGGAGACUGGAAUUCAUGGUGUAGCAGUGAAAUGCGUAGAGAUCAUGAGGAAGACCAGUGGCGAAGGCGGGUCUCUGGACAGUUCCUGACACUGAGACACGAAGGCCAGGGGAGCAAACGGGAUUAGAUACCCCGGUAGUCCUGGCAGUAAACGGUGCACGUUUGGUGUGGGAGGAUUCGACCCCUUCUGCGCCGGAGCUAACGCGUUAAACGUGCCGCCUGGGGAGUACGGUCGCAAGAUUA